rnacentral:rRNA from 1 species
AUACGUAGGGGGCUAGCGUUAUCCGGAUUUACUGGGCGUAAAGGGUGCGUAGGUGGUUUCUUAAGUCAGGAGUGAAAGGCUACGGCUCAACCGUAGUAAGCUCUUGAAACUGGGAAACUUGAGUGCAGGAGAGGAAAGUGGAAUUCCUAGCGUAGCGGUGAAAUGCGUAGAUAUUAGGAGGAACACCAGUAGCGAAGGCGGCUUACCGGGGUACAACUGACGCUGAGGCACGAAAGUGUGGGUAUC